rnacentral:lncRNA from 1 species
AUCUUUUUAUAUAAAAAAGAAGAUGUGGUAUGAUUGCCAAUGAGACAACUGUCCACAAGAGACCAAAAUGACACAGACAUUAACAACUAUAGGUCACCGUACGGCCUUCAACAAUAAGCAAAGCCCAUACCGCAUAGUCAGCUAUAAAAGGACCCGAUAAGACAAUGUAAAACAAUUCAAACGAGAAAACUAACGGCCUUAUUUAUGUAAAAAAUGAACGAAAAACAAAUAUGUAACACAUAAACAAACGACAACCACUGAAUUACAGGCUCCUGACUUGGGACAGACACAUACAUAAAUAAUGUG